rnacentral:rRNA from 1 species
GGAGGGGGCAAGCGUUGUUCGGAAUUACUGGGCGUAAAGGGCGCGUAGGCGGAAGAUCAAGUCAGGGGUGAAAGGCCUGGGCUCAACCCGGGAACUGCCUUUGAAACUGGUUUUCUAGGGUACGGGAGAGGAUGGCGGAAUUCCCAGUGUAGAGGUGAAAUUCGUAGAUAUUGGGAAGAACACCGGUGGCGAAGGCGGCCAUCUGGCCCGGUACUGACGCUAAGGCGCGAAAGCGUGGGGAGCAAACAGGAUUAGAUACCCUGGUAGUCCACGCCGUAAACGAUGUGUGCUAGCCGUUGGGGCCUCAGGUCUCAGUGGCGCAGCUAACGCGUUAAGCACACCGCCUGGGGAGUACGGCCGCAAGGUUA